rnacentral:rRNA from 1 species
GCGCACGGGUGAGUAACACGUGACUAACCUUACCCUGGAGUGGGGGAUAACUGAGGGAAACCUUAGCUAAUACCGCAUAAUACCUACGGGUCAAAGGAGCAAUUCGCUUUAGGAGGGGGUCGCGGCAGAUUAGUUAGUUGGCGGGGUAAUGGCCCACCAAGACAGUGAUCUGUAUCCGGCCUGAGAGGGCGCACGGACACACUGGAACUGGAAACACGGUCCAGACUCCUACGGGAGGCAGCAGUGGGGAAUUUUGCGCAAUGGGGGAAAGCCUGACGCAGCAACGCCUGCGUGGAGGAUGAAGUACUUCGGUACGUAAACUCCUUUCGAUCGGGACGAUAAUGACGGUACCGGAAGAAGAGGCCCCGGUUGAACUUCGUGCCAGCAGCCGCCGGUCAAUACGAGGGGGGCAUGCGUUGUCCGGCAAUUAUUGGGCGUAAAGGGUGCGUAGGGCGGAUUGAUAAGUCUUGUGUCGAAUCUACAGGCUCAACUUGUAGACUGCACGAGAAAAUUGCCG